CAGAAUAGUGCCUGGCACACUGAACCUAUGAGGUAGAUCCUGUUUUUACUCUCAUUUAUCCGCAUCUAACAUAUGUGGAUCCUGAAGCUCAGAGAAGGCACCUGUCCUUGGGAAAAGCUUAUGUUUUCAACUACAUCACACUACUGUCGUUACCAAGCUACAAUGGAUUUAUGCCAGAAAUUUGGCACUUAGUCACAAGGGUCAGAGGAAAGUAACCAUAAAGCAUUAAGGCCAGGCUUCUGUGGAAAGAGGCUAAAACAAUUUAGACUUCACAGUUUGCAAAGGUGAGGGAAGAUCAUCCAUCUCUACGCAAUCAAGAAUGACAAUGAACAGUAUCAAAACAACCAGAUUCAUUUAUCAAAUCCUCUAACCAGCCAAGAACAAGCUAGACAGAAAUGAUGAUUGUCUGUAAAACAAUUCCUAUUCUAUUAAAGAAAAAUACUGGAUUAGAAAGAUUUGGGAUAUCUACACAGAUGUUAUUUCAGAUCUCACAGAGCAAGUUUUGGUUUGACACAGGAUUGUGUAAUAUGUAAAUCUCCUUUCCAGGUUCUACACUAACAGGCCAACAUUUAGCUUUGAAUUCUGUCUGUCCUAGAAUCAUGGCUCCUUUUACAUCUGA